rnacentral:rRNA from 1 species
GACGAACGCUGGCGGCGUGCCUAAUACAUGCAAGUAGAACGCUGAAGAGAGGAGCUUACUCUUCUUGGAUGAGUUGCGAACGGGUGAGUAACGCGUAGGUAACCUGCCUUGUAGCGGGGGAUAACUAUUGGAAACGAUAGCUAAUACCGCAUAACAAUGGAUGACACAUGUCAUUUAUUUGAAAGGGGCAAUUGCUCCACUACAAGAUGGACCUGCGUUGUAUUAGCUAGUAGGUGAGGUAAUGGCUCACCUAGGCGACGAUACAUAGCCGACCUGAGAGGGUGAUCGGCCACACUGGGACUGAGACACGGCCCAGACUCCUACGGGAGGCAGCAGUAGGGAAUCUUCGGCAAUGGGGGCAACCCUGACCGAGCAACGCCGCGUGAGUGAAGAAGGUUUUCGGAUCGUAAAGCUCUGUUGUAAGUCAAGAACGGGUGUGAGAGUGGAAAGUUCACAGUGUGACGGUAGCUUACCAGAAAGGGACGGCUAACUACGUG